GACGAACGCUGGCGGUGUGCUUAACACAUGCAAGUGGUGCGACGAACCAGAGCUUGCUCUGGGGCAAAGCCGCGAACGGGUGAGUAACACGUGGGUAAUCUACCCCGAUGACCGGGACAACCCGAGGAGACUCGGGCUAAUACCGGAUGUGGUGCGGAGACAUAAGUCUCUUCACUAAAGGUAGCUUCGGCUUCCGCAUUGGGAGGGGCCCGCGGCCCAUUAGCUUGUUGGUGGGGUCAAGGCCUACCAAGGCAACGAUGGGUAGCUGGUCUGAGAGGACGAUCAGCCACACUGGGACUGAGACACGGCCCAGACUCCUACGGGAGGCAGCAGUGGGGAAUCUUGCGCAAUGCGCGAAAGCGUGACGCAGCAACACCGCGUGAGGGAAGAAGGCCUUAGGGUUGUAAACCUCUUUCAGAUGGGACGAAGGUUCUCCGGUGAAUAGCCGAGAGGAUUGACGGUACCGUCAGAAGAAGCUCCGGCUAACUACGUG
rnacentral:rRNA from 1 species